CCCGGAGCUACAUAAUCAGAGAGGCAAACAAAAGCUCCUCAGAGUCAGCACCGCAGUGCUGUCCUGAGGGUGGGAAACACAGGAAAAAUCAACCCAGGAGAAGUCCCUGAAAGUAGACCGUUUCCCCAGAAUGGCUCUUGUUCAAGUGAUGAGAGCUCCCAUGUUAGGACCCAGAAGUGAGACUCACAGGCCUUGCCCCCAGAGUGGCCAGGCCCUGCUGGCGCUCCCAAGCUGGACACAGAGCCAUGGAUGGACUCUCCAUAAGGCUUCUAAUCACAUCUCGCAGUGUGUCAGGCUCUGCCUACACCUCCCAGGUUUCUGCUUUUGA
rnacentral:lncRNA from 1 species